GAUGAACGCUGGCGGCGUGCCUAAUACAUGCAAGUCGAACGAACAGGCGCGUGGUUUGCUCGUCUCACGUUUGCCGCGGGCGUGUGAGUAACGCGUGUGUACCCUCCCGAUAAUACUGAGAUGACUUGGGGAAUCCGUAGCUUAUACCGUAUAAUAUAUUUAACCGCGUUGUUCAAGAGUGAAAUUCGGUUUUGCUGUCGCUUGUAGAUUAUUCCGUGGCUCAUUUGCUAGUUGGUAGGGUAACGGCUUACCAAGGCAACGAUGCGUAGCCGACCUGAGAGGGUGAUCGGCCACACUGGAACUGAGACACGGCCCAGACUCCUACGGGAGGCAGCAGUAGGGAAUCUUGGGCAAUGGGCGAAAGCCUGAAGGAGCAACGCCGCGUGAGUGAUGAAGGUCUUCGGGUCGUAAAACGCUGUUAUUAGGGAAGAACAAAUGUGUUAGUAACCAUGCACGUCUUGACGGUACCUAAAGAGAAAGCACCGGCUAACUACGUG
rnacentral:rRNA from 1 species